GUUUCUAUUAUCUAAAAGGUGUUGCCUUUGCUUCGACAUAUGUGUUUGCAUGAUCCUAAUCAGUGUUCUAGAUAACCAUGUUAGAAACUCUCUUUUAAUGCAUGAUUGCAGCUAUAGACUAAAUUUUGAUCACAGGUACAGCUAGAAUAAGCAUCUUAAAAUUAGUAAAAUUACAAAGUUUGGUUGCAAAAUGUUCUACGCAUGGGAAAAUGUACCACUUUCGCCCUAAAUGUGGUGCAUUUUCCCUUGCGUAAUACAAAUUAAUGCAAAUUUCGCAGGGGUAUAUCUUACUCAUUUUACAACAUUUCGCAACCAAACUUUGCAAUUUUACUAAUUUUAAGAUGCUCUAUCUACUGUAGCUGUGGUGAUGGGAUUUCGUUCUUCUUGCCUAGAUCAAAAUUCAUGCAUAUACUGCAGUAUAUACAUGAUACAUAUACAGUAUAUAUACACUAUAUACUGCAGUAUAUAGCUGGAAUCAUUCAAUGUUAAAAAAUACACCCUUGCCUUGGCUACGGUGCCGUAGCAAGCUCGAUAAUUAGGGACCUUUAGCUAGCAGGACGGCGACGGCUAUUAAUACAAUGAAAUUUAUGACAGCGUAGAAAGAAAAUGCAUCAUUGAAGGUCCCAUGGGAGUUUUAGUCGUCGUCCUUGCUCUGUUUACAACAGCAAACCAAAGAUUUUCACGUUUUGUACACAACGUCUGCCUUUCAAGCCGCGAGAAGUCGUCCUCGCCAAAUUGACUUAGUAGAAGUCUUCUCAACUAUAAACCUCUGUCUUAACCUUCUUAAAUUGCAAUAAAUUCAUACAACGGAUAAUACAAGACAUGUUGAUCUUAAAGUUACUUAUUCGAACGAGUUUAUUUUGGCCGUCGUCGUCGCGUUGCCGUCACCUAUUUGCUAA